rfam:Eimeria brunetti, Houghton, WGS project CBTX01000000 data, contig: Ebh_contig78_13
CCUUAGGCUUCUCUAGAAGCCACCAUUACUAUUAUUCUAAUUAUAU